UCGGGAAUUUUGGGCAAUGGGCGAAAGCCUGACCCAGCAACGCCGCGUGAAGGAUGAAGUAUUUCGGUAUGUAAACUUCGUAAGAAUAGGAAGAAUAAAUGACGGUACUAUUUGUAAGGUCCGGCUAACUACGUGCCAGCAGCCGCGGUAAUACGUAGGGACCAAGCGUUGUUCGGAUUUACUGGGCGUAAAGGGCUCGUAGGCGGCCAACUAAGUCAGACGUGAAAUCCCUCGGCUUAACCGGGGAACUGCGUCUGAUACUGGAUGGCUUGAGGUUGGGAGAGGGAUGCGGAAUUCCAGGUGUAGCGGUGAAAUGCGUAGAUAUCUGGAGGAACACCGGUGGCGAAGGCGACUAUCUGGAUCACAACUGACGCUGAGGUACGAAAGCAUGGGUAGCAAACAGGAUUAGAUACCCACGUAGUCCCUGAGCGGGCUGGCAAGGCGCAU
rnacentral:rRNA from 1 species